GACGAACGCUGGCGGCGUGCUUAACACAUGCAAGUCGAACGAAGAGCGAUGGAAGCUUGCUUCUAUCAAUCUUAGUGGCGCACGGGUGAGUAACGCGUAAUCAACCUGCCCUUCAGAGGGGGACAACAGUUGGAAACGACUGCUAAUACCGCAUACGAUCUAAUCUCGGCAUCGAGGAUAGAUGAAAGGUGGCCUCUACAUGUAAGCUAUCACUGACGGAGGGGAUUGCGUCUGAUUAGCUAGUUGGAGGGGUAACGGCCCACCAAGGCGAUGAUCAGUAGCCGGUCUGAGAGGAUGAACGGCCACAUUGGGAAUGAGACACGGCCCAGACCCCUACGGGAGGCAGCAGGGGGGAAUCUUCCGCAAUGGACGAAAGUCUGACGGAGCAACGCCGCGGGAGUGAUGAAGGCCUUCGGGUUGUAAAGCUCUGUUAAUCGGGACGAAAGGCCUUCUUGCGAAUAGUGAGAAGGAUUGACGGUACCGGAAUAGAAAGCCACGGCUAACUACGUG
rnacentral:rRNA from 1 species